AAGCGAUUAACUCAAUUGGUAGAGUGUCUCGCUUACAACGAGAAAGUUAGUGGUUCGAGCCCGCUAUCGCUUA
rnacentral:tRNA from 1 species